GACCGCGUAGCUCACUUAAUUGGCAGAGCAUUGGGCUAGUAUUCCUAAGGUCGUAGGUUCGAUUCCCACCGUGGUCA